AAAAAGUUUUAUUUUGGUUUUUUAUAUUAAUUUUUAAUUUUUUAAGAUGUAAAUUUUUGUAUUAAAAAUUUAUUUUUCAAUUAAUAGUACUAGAAAUGAUGGAAACAUUGAUUUGGAUAUUUAAAAUUACAUUAACAAAAUUUGUGCCAGCAGUUGCGGUUAUACAAUUAAUGUUGUUAAUAUUUAUUAACUUAUGAAUAAAUUUUUAUUUUUAUAUAAAGGCUAAUAUAUUAGGUGAAAUUUUAUAUUGGUUAUAUUUAAUAUUUAUAUUUUUGUUUCAUUAAAUUUUUAUGUAAACUAGGAUUAGAUACCCUAUUAUUUUAAAUGUAAAUUUAAGUUAAUUAUUAAUAGUUAUGUUCUUUAAAUUUAAAAAAUUUGGCGGUAUUAUAUAUUUAGAGGAACCUGUUCUGUGAUUGAUAUUCCACGAUAAUAUUUACUUGUAUUAAAUAGUUUGUAUAUCGUUGUAGUUGAAUUUCUUAUUAGAGUUAAAUAUUCAAGAUUUUAUUAUAAAAAAUUAAGUCAGAUCAAGAUGCAGUUUAUAUACAAGAAGAAAUGGGUUACAUUUAAUUUUAUUAUUGGAUUAAAAUAUUAAAAGUUUUAUUAAAUUGGAUUUAAAAGUAAUUGUAAAUAUUUUUUUUUAAAUGAUUAUUUACAUAUAAUAUGCACAUAUUGCCCGUCGCUUUCAUAUAAAGUGAAAUAAGUCGUAACAAAGUAGUUUUACUGGAAAGUGUAGCUAGAAAGAC
rnacentral:ncRNA from 1 species